AGUUAGCGACCGGGGAAGCCAUCAAGUCGUAGUCGUUACCCGACGAGCCGGCGGCAACGUACGAGUAGGAACCUCGAGACCAUUCGUCAGAUUUCCAUCUUGUUACUACGGUCUCACGAGGCUGAAAAAGAAUUUCUUUUAUUCAGUGAUGUAGCAGUCUACUCUCAACAUCCUAAGAAAAUUAGUCGAGGAAAGGUUUUCACCCUUCUUAUUAUUUCACUAUUUCUGGAAAGUGAGUCCUCUGCCAUGUGUGCAUACCAUAAUAAAUCAAUUCAUACAUUUUAAAAUGUGCGGCUGGAAGAAAUUGAUGUAGAAUCUUUCGGUUUCAGACUUCUCCGAGAGAAAAAUCUACGUUAAGGUUCAGUGAUCGACAAGUAUAAAAAUAUUAGUUGUACUGUUUAUUCACUAUGCAUGUAUUAAUCCUAUUUUCCUCAUCAUUCAGUUGAAAUAAGUGAUUUCUUCGAUUGUGAUGAACUGCGCUUGUUUUGAUGAAUUUAUGAUGUACAAAUUAAAGACUGGAUUGUUUACAGUCGACGUGCAUCUUUCCGAUGCAACCACACGAACAUAGUUAAAAAUUAAUUGUCCUCACCUGGGGUACAUUACCGCUCCCAAAUAUCCCUUUGAGUACAGCAACACAACGUCCCACAAUUAUUUCGUCGGCAACUGCUUCUAACUCGUUGGCAGCUUUCCCUGCGACCAACGCUAUUAAUAUAGGUGUCUUGUAAAGAUUCCAAAACAAGAAUAGCUCACCACGCUUAGCUGUUGUGCUUCCCACGUGACCAAAGAGGUUCGUCGAGCGAUCCCAGAACACACGAUCGAAACAUAGGACAACCUAGAGGCAAAGGAGGAUGAAAUUGAACAGUCUCUGGCAUGGCUUUCAAAACACCCAACGGUAACGUGAUUAAGACCACGUCACCCUUAAAACUCUGUGUCGUGCUAAUGGCCGCUUUCGUCGUGCUUUGUGUGAUGACUUCGACACCUGGAUAUGAAUUCAAAAGAUCAAAGUAAAUGCCAGGGUGUGUUUACAAAUAAAUUUUUGAACGGUCAGUUUAUAUGUACGUGAAAAUAUACGCAUUUAAUAAAGUUUGGAGCUAGAAAUGGAUGUUCGAUUUCCAAAAGUUACUUAAAUGUUUCUGUUACAACGUAGUAAUUAUUGCUUGCAUUAUACGAUGACUUGCUUCACUGUAAAUGUAGCUGGUCAGUUUUCAUAACAAUGGAAAAUUUGUAAUAAAGCUCAAACAGAACCAUGGCAAAAAAAACAACAAAAUAAAACAUGAUUACACAUGUAAA